rnacentral:tRNA from 1 species
GCAUCUAUAGUCUAAUGGAUAGAACGCUGGACUCCGAUUCCAGUAAUGUGGGUUCGACUCCCGCUAGAUGCA